rnacentral:rRNA from 1 species
UACAGAGGGUGCAAACGUUGUUCGGAAUUACUGGGCGUAAAGCGCGUGUAGGCGGCUUGGCAAGUCGGGUGUGAAAGCCCUGGGCUCAACCCAGGAAGUGCACUCGAAACUGCUUGGCUUGAGUACUGGAGAGGGAAGCGGAAUUCUCGGUGUAGAGGUGAAAUUCGUAGAUAUCGAGAGGAACACCGGUGGCGAAGGCGGCUUCCUGGACAGUUACUGACGCUGAGACGCGAAAGCGUGGGGAGCAAACAGG